UGCAAGUCGAACGGUGAAGCCCAGCUUGCUGGGUGGAUCAGUGGCGAACGGGUGAGUAACACGUGAGCAACCUGCCCCUGACUCUGGGAUAAGCGCUGGAAACGGCGUCUAAUACUGGAUAUGUGACGUGACCGCAUGGUCUGCGUUUGGAAAGAUUUUUCGGUUGGGGAUGGGCUCGCGGCCUAUCAGCUUGUUGGUGAGGUAAUGGCUCACCAAGGCGUCGACGGGUAGCCGGCCUGAGAGGGUGACCGGCCACACUGGGACUGAGACACGGCCCAGACUCCUACGGGAGGCAGCAGUGGGGAAUAUUGCACAAUGGGCGCAAGCCUGAUGCAGCAACGCCGCGUGAGGGAUGACGGCCUUCGGGUUGUAAACCUCUUUUAGCAGGGAAGAAGCGAAAGUGACGGUACCUGCAGAAAAAGCGCCGGCUAACUACGUGCCAGCAGCCGCGGUAAUACGUAGGGCGCAAGCGUUAUCCGGAAUUAUUGGGCGUAAAGAGCUCGUAGGCGGUUUGUCGCGUCUGCUGUGAAAUCCCGAGGCUCAACCUCGGGCCUGCAGUGGGUACGGGCAGACUAGAGUGCGGUAGGGGAGAUUGGAAUUCCUGGUGUAGCGGUGGAAUGCGCAGAUAUCAGGAGGAACACCGAUGGCGAAGGCAGAUCUCUGGGCCGUAACUGACGCUGAGGAGCGAAAGGGUGGGGAGCAAACAGGCUUAGAUACCCUGGUAGUCCACCCCGUAAACGUUGGGAACUAGUUGUGGGGUCCAUUCCACGGAUUCCGUGACGCAGCUAACGCAUUAAGUUCCCCGCCUGGGGAGUACGGCCGCAAGGCUAAAACUCAAAGGAAUUGACGGGGACCCGCACAAGCGGCGGAGCAUGCGGAUUAAUUCGAUGCAACGCGAAGAACCUUACCAAGGCUUGACAUAUACGAGAACGGGCCAGAAAUGGUCAACUCUUUGGACACUCGUAAACAGGUGGUGCAUGGUUGUCGUCAGCUCGUGUCGUGAGAUGUUGGGUUAAGUCCCGCAACGAGCGCAACCCUCGUUCUAUGUUGCCAGCACGUAAUGGUGGGAACUCAUGGGAUACUGCCGGGGUCAACUCGGAGGAAGGUGGGGAUGACGUCAAAUCAUCAUGCCCCUUAUGUCUUGGGCUUCACGCAUGCUACAAUGGCCGGUACAAAGGGCUGCAAUACCGCGAGGUGGAGCGAAUCCCAAAAAGCCGGUCCCAGUUCGGAUUGAGGUCUGCAACUCGACCUCAUGAAGUCGGAGUCGCUAGUAAUCGCAGAUCAGCAACGCUGCGGUGAAUACGUUCCCGGGUCUUGUACACACCGCCCGUCAAGUCAUGAAAGUCGGUAACACCUGAAGCCGGUGG
rnacentral:rRNA from 1 species